CAGUCGCCACGGUAAUACGUAGGGCGCAAGCGUUAUCCGGAAUUAUUGGGCGUAAAGAGCUCGUAGGCGGUUUGUCGCGUCUGCCGUGAAAGUCCGGGGCUCAACCCCGGAUCUGCGGUGGGUACGGGCAGACUAGAGUGAUGUAGGGGAGACUGGAAUUCCUGGUGUAGCGGUGAAAUGCGCAGAUAUCAGGAGGAACACCGAUGGCGAAGGCAGGUCUCUGGGCAUUAACUGACGCUGAGGAGCGAAAGCAUGGGGAGCGAACAGGAUUAGAUACCCGCGUAGUCCCUGUCUCUUAUAC
rnacentral:rRNA from 1 species